rnacentral:tRNA from 2 species
GCGGGUAUCGUAUAGUGGCUAUUAUGAAUGCUUCCCAAGCAUUAGAGAGGGGUUCGAUUCCCCUUACCCGCUCCA